UUCCAUGAUGAUUUGUCCACAGUUUGAGAUUAGUUAGCUUCAAGCCCCUGUUUUCAGGGAGAACCUACUUGAGGCUGCUAAAUCAUAAUAUGAACUUACUGGACCGUUCUGAGAU